rnacentral:rRNA from 1 species
UACGGGGGGGGCAAGCGUUGUUCGGAAUUACUGGGCGUAAAGGGCGCGUAGGCGGCCUACUAAGUCGGACGUGAAAUCCCUCGGCUCAACCGAGGAACUGCGUCCGAUACUGGCAGGCUGGAAUCCGGGAGAGGGAUGUGGAAUUCCAGGUGUAGCGGUGAAAUGCGUAGAUAUCUGGAGGAACACCGGUGGCGAAGGCGGCCCUCUGGACGGUGACUGACGCUGAGACGCGAAAGCGUGGGGAGCAAACAGG